rnacentral:lncRNA from 1 species
CACUCUGGAAUCCUUGGGCCUGGGGCCAGGGAGGAAGAUCGGGCUGCCCAGGAGCCCCGGGUGGGAAGGGGGUGCGGUGCCAGUCCCCCCAGCUGAUGCUCCUUUCUCCCCUCCGGGUCCCCGCCAACAUGCGCCAGCCAGGGACUCAAAGGUGUGCCCUUUGCCUUGCUGAUCUCCUCACUUCUGGGCUGGAACAUGGAAAUGACUCACUUUACAGAUGAGGGAACUGAGGCACAGAGUGGGGAAGAGUCUUGCCUGAGUUACGCAGACCUGGCUCCUACUGGCUCAAAGAGAGGGGGCUGUUAAAGGCUCAUGGAUUUUGCAAGCCCGAUUUCACUGGCGCUUUGAACUCAGCUGCAAGUGUAAGUAUUUACACCACGGCAAUUGGCAACUGACGCAAACCAAGAUUUUGUGGUUUUUUUGUUUACUGGUUUGCUUUGUUUCUUCCUUUCAGGCAGCCGGUGGUGAAACAUUUACCAGCUCACCACUGACUGGAGGCCAGCCACAGCUUUUAGAGACAGUGUCUCUAGAAGGGUCCCUAGCUUAGAAAGUUGCAGAGAUUUUCAAGACCGCACCCUCGUCUCCAGAUCUGUCACGGAUCUGAGGCUGACGCCAAAGACAAAGAAAUUUCUUCCUUCUCUCGUGAUGCCAACAGCUAGCUUCUCUCUCUACUCCACCAUAAUAACAUCCCAUCCUGUGCAAGAAGACUGUCCCGGCUGUCCCUUGGGGCAGGGAUUAAAGGCCCCGGGAGAACAGGUCAUGCUGGGGAAGAGUCGGAAACCCAUUUCCUGAACACCUCCAGCGUGCCGGGUACCCCGCCCGGCACUUUCUAUGGUUUAACAGCACGGCACGGGGGCCACGACACCUUGCAUGGGAAUCGAGGCUCAGAGACGUAAAGGGACUUGCCCGAGGCCACACAGCCAAGACACGUGGUUUUGGAAAUCAAACCUGUACCAAGUCCGGGGCACCUGGCAUUGAUGAAGCUUGAGGUGUGUGUGUGGAGGGUGGGGAGUGGGCAACUGCCGGGGGUCCUGGCACCCCAUCCUGCCCCAGGGAUGAGCAAGGCUGGCGUCUGGGGAACUGGAGAGGGGCUGGGUCUGGGCAUGAGGUGAUGUUUGGGCCAGAGGGUGGGGCGGGAGAGGAGGAGGGUGCGAGGGGCAGGGCCUGGUGCCCGGCAGGAACAAUAGUACAGGGCGGGUAACAGGAGCCCGGCCAGGUCCGGGCUCUGGGGCAGGCCCUUCUGGGCCCUGGAAGCAGCAGGCUCAUCCUGUAGAACCGCCAGGGUGAUACCAGCCUCGAUGAGCCAACUCAGCGAUUAUAUCGGCCUCUUCCUGGAAGACUGCAGACGCAGUGGGGGAGCGCAGAAGGGAGGCACCUGUUUGGGAAAGAGGGGGUGUGGGCACCCUGUCCUGCUGCAGCUCCCUCACCAGCAUGCAGCGUGUAUUUGCCGCCCCCC